AUUCUGCCCAUGCGGGGAAGGAUGAGAAGCUUCGACUAAGGUUCGACUUGAGCGCCAGCGAGAGAGCGUUGCCGCAGGCAACGACCCGAAGGGCGAAGCGCGCAG
rnacentral:sRNA from 1 species